UAGGGAAUCUUCGGCAAUGGACGAAAGUCUGACCGAGCAACGCCGCGUGAGUGAAGAAGGUUUUCGGAUCGUAAAACUCUGUUGUUAGAGAAGAACAAGGACGUUAGUAACUGAACGUCCCCUGACGGUAUCUAACCAGAAAGCCACGGCUAACUACGUGCCAGCAGCCGCGGUAAUACGUAGGUGGCAAGCGUUGUCCGGAUUUAUUGGGCGUAAAGCGAGCGCAGGCGGUUUCUUAAGUCUGAUGUGAAAGCCCCCGGCUCAACCGGGGAGGGUCAUUGGAAACUGGGAGGCUUGAGUGCAGAAGAGGAGAGUGGAAUUCCAUGUGUAGCGGUGAAAUGCGUAGAUAUAUGGAGGAACACCAGUGGCGAAGGCGGCUCUCUGGUCUGUAACUGACGCUGAGGCUCGAAAGCGUGGGGAGCAAACAGG
rnacentral:rRNA from 2 species